UACGUAGGGUGCAGGCGUUGUCCGGAAUUAUUGGGCGUAAAGAGCUUGUAGGCGGUUUGUCGCGUCUGCUGUGAAAUUUCGGGGCUCAACCCCGAACUUGCAGUGGGUACGGGCAGACUAGAGUGUGGUAGGGGAGACUGGAAUUCCUGGUGUAGCGGUGAAAUGCGCAGAUAUCAGGAGGAACACCGAUGGCGAAGGCAGGUCUCUGGGCCACGACUGACGCUGAGAAGCGAAAGCAUGGGGAGCGAACAGG
rnacentral:rRNA from 1 species